rnacentral:rRNA from 1 species
UGUGGGUAGGGGUGAAAGGCCAAUCAAACUCCGUGAUAGCUGGUUCUCCCCGAAAUGCAUUUAGGUGCAGCGUCGCAUGUUUCACCACGGGGGUAGAGCUACUGGAUGGUCUAGGGGCCUUACCGGGUUACCGAAAUCAACCAAACUCCGAAUACCGUGGUGUGAGAGUGCGGCAGUGAGACGGCGGGGGAUAAGCUUCGUCGUCGAGAGGGAAACAGCCCAGAACACCAGCUAAGGCCCCUAAGUGUGUGCUCAGUGGGAAAGGAUGUGGGAUUGCCCAGACAACCAGGAGGUUGGCUUAGAAGCAGCCACCCUUGAAAGAGUGCGUAAUAGCUCACUGGUCAAGUGGUCCUGCGCCGACAAUGUAGCGGGGCUUAAGCACACCGCCGAAGCUGUGUCACUCGUGCAAUACAUCCGCCAAUCUUUCGGGGUUGGUGCAGUGGCACGGGUGGGUAGGGGAGCGUCCUGCAUCCGGGGAAGCGGCGGCGGAAGCCAGUCGUGGAGGGUGCGGGAGUGAGAAUGCAGGCAUGAGUAGCGAAUGCAGAGUGAGAAACUCUGCCGCCGGAUGACCAAGGGUUCCUGGGCCAGGCUAAUCCGCCCAGGGUAAGUCGGGACCUAAGGCGAGGCCGACAGGCGUAGUCGAUGGACAACGGGUUGAUAUUCCCGUACCCGAGCAUGUGCGCCCAUGGCGAGGCGGUUGACACUAACCACCCAAAACCAUGAAUGAAGCCUUCGGGUGGAGUUUGUGUGUGGAGCGUGGGACCUGAUUCCGUAGUAGUCAAGCGAUGGGGUGACGCAGGAAGGCAGCUCUGCCAGGCGAUGGUUGUCCUGGUGUAAGCGUGUAGGCCGAGUGGUAGGCAAAUCCGCCGCUCUUCAGGCUGAGACGUGAUGCGUAGCCGUUUGAGGUGAAGCGAGUGAUCCUAUGCUGUCGAGAAAAGCCUCUAGUGAGUGCACGCACGGCCCGUACCCCAAACCAACACAGGUGGUCAGGUAGAGAAUACUGAGGCGAUCGGGUGAACUGUGGUUAAGGAACUCGGCAAAAUGCCCCCGUAACUUCGGGAGAAGGGGGGCCAAGCGCGGUGAUACCCCUAGCGGGUGGAGCUGUGGUUGGCCGCAGAGACCAGCGGAAAGCGACUGUUUACUAAAAACACAGGUCCAUGCGAAGUCGCAAGACGAUGUAUAUGGACUGACGCCUGCCCGGUGCUGGAACGUUAAGAGGACCGGUUAACCCUUCGGGGUGAAGCUGAGAAUUUAAGCGCCAGUAAACGGCGGCCGUAACUAUAACGGUCCUAAGGUAGCGAAAUUCCUUGUCGGGUAAGUUCCGACCUGCACGAAUGGCAUAAUGAUGGGGGCGCUGUCUCCAGCAGAGGCUCAGUGAAAUCGAAAUCGCCGUGAAGAUGCGGUGUACCCGCGGCUAGACGGAAAGACCCCGUGAACCUUUACUGCAGCUUGACAUUGAACUUUGAUCUUACUUGUGUAGGAUAGGUGGGAGGCUUAGAAGUAGCGACGCCAGUUGCUAUGGAGCCAUCCUUGAAAUACCACCCUGGUAAUAUUGAGGUUCUAACUCUGUCCCGUUAUCCGGGACGAGGACCAUGUCUGGUGGGUAGUUUGACUGGGGCGGUCUCCUCCUAAAGAGUAACGGAGGAGUACGAAGGUGCGCUCAGCGUGGUCGGAAAUCACGCGUAGAGUAUAAAGGCAAAAGCGCGCUUAACUGCGAGACCCACAAGUCGAGCAGGUACGAAAGUAGGUCUUAGUGAUCCGGUGGUUCUGUAUGGAAGGGCCAUCGCUCAACGGAUAAAAGGUACUCUGGGGAUAACAGGCUGAUACCGCCCAAGAGUUCAUAUCGACGGCGGUGUUUGGCACCUCGAUGUCGGCUCAUCUCAUCCUGGGGCUGAAGCAGGUCCCAAGGGUAUGGCUGUUCGCCAUUUAAAGAGGUACGCGAGCUGGGUUUAGAACGUCGUGAGACAGUUCGGUCCCUAUCUACCGUGGGCGUUGGAAAUUUGAGAGGAUCUGCUCCUAGUACGAGAGGACCAGAGUGGACGAACCUCUGGUGUACCGGUUGUGACGCCAGUCGCAUCGCCGGGUAGCUAUGUUCGGAAGGGAUAACCGCUGAAAGCAUCUAAGCGGGAAGCCUACCUCAAGAUAAGAUUUCCCUAGGACUUUAUGUCCUCUAAAGAGCCGUUGAAGACUACGACGUUGAUAGGUUGGAUGUGGAAGUGCGGUGACGCAUGAAGCUGACCAAUACUAAUUGCUCGUGAGGCUUGACUAU